CUAUAUUCUUCUGAUUGGUUCUUUUUAAUAUUUUCUAGAUCUUUGUUGAAAUUCUCACGGAUUCAUCUGCUCUUCUUUCAAGUGAGUAGUAUCUUUAUGACCUUUACUUUGAAUUCUUGCAAGUAUAUUGCUUAUAUCCGUUUAAUUUAGCUCUUUUUCUGUGAUGUUUGUGGUGUUCUUUUGCUGGAGAUGUAUCCCUCUGUUUCCUUACUUUUUUCUCUUAGGUAGGUAAGCUAUUAUUUCUGAUUUAGAAUGUAGUGGACUUGAAUAGGAGAGAUCUUGUGAUGCUCUAUAGCAUAAUAUCCCCUGGUCACCAGAACUAGGCAUUCCAGAGCUGUCCAUCCACUGUGUGGUCUACAUGUGCCCUCCUUUUGUGACUAAGAAUGCUGUGGGCACACUAGUGGUAGGGGCUGCUCUUCAGUUCAGCUAAUUCCAAUGACCCACUUUGCUUUCUGUGGGGACACUGGGUAGGCUUUACUCCCUGUCCUGUUUAGAGGCCUGGCUUUAGCCAUCUGGAUUCACUGGUAGGUGGGGCCAGCACUCAUACUAGCUGUCUGCAAGUAGCUUCUGUCAUAGCUAGGUACGCUGAAGGGCAGGGCUUGCUCCCUGCACAGCCAGCUAAGAGGCUCAGCUGUAGGAACUGCAGGCACACUACUGUGCAGUUAUUUCCUUAUCUCCUUAGAGCAGGAUUCAGUUUGACAUGGUGCUGAUCUGGUCUGGCCAUGGCUGCUGCUAGGAGCAGAGGGACAGUACCCACUUUGUAGGGGCACCUUCCAACCUCAGUGGCUUGGGUGACUCAGGUUUGCAGUGAUGUGUUGGUGCAGGGCAUGUGGUGUUGGCAAGGUAGAUAAAGAUGAUUAGAACUGGCUCCCACCAAGUGUUCAGCUCUCUAGGCUGGGGUAAGGCAAGAAAAAUGGUGCCCAUCAGUACUUUUGUUCCCAGAGAUAUCUGCAGAUCCCUGCUUUUCAUGCACCCUUUCUAAAUUAGUAUAUCUACAUGUAUACUCCAGGCAUUUUUCAAGCUGUUGCUUCUGUGUCUGAGGGCAAAUUAUUUAGAGUGAUGAUUUUUCCAGGGCAGGGACUCAGUAUCCUUUCACCCUCAGGCUCUUUUGGAGUUAAACCCCACUGACUUUUAUAGCUCCUGGAGAUAAGCCCUGCUGAUUUUCAAACCCAGACAUCAGAGGACUCAUCUUUCUUGUGUGGAUCCCAGGCUGGGAGUGCACAGUGUGGGUGGGGUCUGGUCCCCUUGCUUCUCAGUGAUUAUGAUGCCCUUCCCAUUCAUGGUUAAUCACUCUGGCAUUUUGAUUCUUAACCAGGUGACUGCCCCUCCUAUCCUUUUUGAUGUGGUCUUCUCUCUAUGACUUAGCUGUGGAAGAUCUUUUAUGCCAGUUUUCAGGUCAUUAUCUGAGUUAAUUGCAUAGAUAUAGUUGUUGCCUUUGUAUGCUGUGGGAUGAAGUGAGCUCAGGAUCCUCCUACUCUGGUACCUUCCCAACUUCCCUAUCUUCUCAUUUAAAAUUUUUUCCUCAGGUGGGUUGUAUUCCUGUAUUCUUUCAGAUCACUGCUCUGUUUUUCUAGGUCAUUUAAUCUACUGUUGAUUCUCUCUAGUGUGUUUUUCUUUUCAUUUUGUUCUUCAGCUCUGUAUCUUGUUAUAUUUUCUAUCUCUUUGUUGAAGUUCUCACUGAAUUUACCCACUCUUCUCUAAGUCUGAUGAACAUUUUUAUGACCAUUACUUUGAAUUGUCAGGUAGCUAAUCUCUAUUUUGUUUAGUUCUUUUUAAGUUUCGUAUUGUUCCUUUAUUUGGAGUAUAUUCCUCUUCUCAUUUUGUUUCUUUGGAUUAGGCAAAACAUCCACUGCUCUCAAUAUUAAAGGAGUAGCCUUGUGUAGGGACAUCCCCUGUGUCAAUAACAUGUAUCUGGUGGCUUUGACCAGCUGGCUGGAGCUUCAUGAAGUGCAGGUCAGGGUUUUGGAGCACUUUGCACCAGAGAUCCUCUGGUAGGAUGGCUAGAGCUGAGGCAUGCAUGCACUGAGGCUUUGUAUGCAGGGGCAUCCUGGUGGGAUUGGUGGAGCAGAAACCAGCAUGUCUUUGAGGUGCUCCAUGCCCAGGCUAUCUUGGUGAGAUGGCUGGAACUAUAGUAGGCAUAGGUCAGGGGUAUUAGGGUGUGUGCCACUCAAAGGCAGCUGUGGUGGGAUGGUUAAAACUUGAGUAUGUUAUGGCAGGUGGCCACCUUGGGAUGAUGGCUGGAACUGUUGUGGGCUAAGAGUCUGAGGCUUGUGGAGGUGGCCAACUGGCUAGAGCAUUUGGGCCCUGCUUCUGUCCUUGCUAUCAGGUGGAGGGGGAACAUAAAUAGUGAUUCUCACCAGCAUCCAGGACCACAGAGAGAGUUGCAGUAGUUUUCCCACUGUCAGGCAGAAGCUCUAGGGGUUAUAAAUAAGUUUCCUUCACUUAUAGUCCAGUUACCCUUUAAACUGCUGCUUUUUUGUUUUGUUUUGUUGUAUCUCAGGUUGGGGGAUUUCCAUCAGUACCAUGUAUAUGUUUUUCCUGUUGUUCUUUGUGAGGUUCCUCUAUUUGUAUGAUCAACUCUUGAUUUCCCUUUCAAUUACGAAUAAUAACCUUGUUGGUUAGAGUAUCAUUUUUUCUAAGCUUAUUUUUCCUCUUAGCACUUUGAAUAAUUCAUAUCUGUUACUUCUGGCCUUCAAGGUUUGUUUCUUCUGAAAAAUAAGCUGAUAGUCUUAUGGUGGUUCCUUUAUAUGUAACUAAUUUAUUUUUCUUGCUUUCAAAAUUUUCUUAUGUUUAAUUUUUAACAUUUGUAUUAUCAUUGUCUUUGGACUUCUCUUGUUUGGGAUACUGUAUGCUUCUUGGGUCUGCAUGUCUGUUUCCUUUUUAUGGUAUUUUUCAGCUAUCAUAUCUUCAAAUAAGUUUUCUGCUCCUUUUUCUCUUCUCCUCAUGAGACCUUUAUAGUAUGAAUCUUAGUAUGCUUGAUAUUAUCCCAGAGGUAUGUUAAACUAUCCCUAUUUCCAAAAAAAAUCUUUUGUUUGCUGAUUAGUUUGAGUCCUUUCCACUACCAUGUCUUCCAGAUUGCUAAUCCAUUCUUCUCUAUCAUCUAAUCUGUUUGCUCCCUCAGUGUAUUUUUCAUUUGUUAUUGUAGCCUUCAGAUCUGAUUAGUACCUUCUUAUAUUUUCCCUUUAAGUUCUGUGUUUAUCCAUUCUUCUCCUAAAUUCAGUAAGCAUAUUUAUUGACCAUUACUUUGAACUCUAUCAGGUAGACUGCUCAUCCUUCUCAUUCAGUUCUUUUCCUGAAUGCCUUUUUUUUUUUUUUUUUUGGUCUUUUUCCUUUUUAAUUUUUCUUUCAUUUGGAACCAAUUUCUCUGUCUCUUCAUUUUGCCUAACUCUGCUUCUAUAUAUUAGGUAGUUCAUCUAGGUAUACUAGUCUUGAAGGACUGGCCUUAUGUAGGAGAUCCUAUGGGGCCUGGAAAUGCAAUCACCUGCCCAUUUAACUCAGGUGC
rnacentral:lncRNA from 1 species